AUCUGAACCCACAAACCCUGGGCCGCUGAAGUGGAGCACGUGAACUUAACCACUGUGCCACCAGGCCAGCCCCUUUGUUUGCUUUUUAUACCAGAAUUGGCUUGGAUAUUGGGACCACCAUCAAGGGUACAGAAGCAAAAAGGCAAAUCCAAGAGAAAGGUAAGUCUUGACUCCUUCUUCAGGAGAUUGGUUGGCAAUUACGAGAUUCCAUUGUAACUUUUUUUCUCUCCCAGGUGUUUCUAAAACAACAUAAGGGAGAAAUAAGACCAAAGCCAGAACAAUUUAAAACAAGUCAUCCACAUCCUUGGCCCAGUUAGAUCUUGGUCUUAACAUCAUUGCUUCCAGUUCAUCUCAGUGCCUUAAGGUCGUGUAUUAGAGUAUGUGGUUGCAAGCAAAAGGAAUGGAUUUUGGCUAACUUAACAAAAUGGGAAUUUAUGAGAGUGCAGUGCGGGAGGACCAUUGAGGGAAGCUGACAGAAUGGAAAGGAAAACCCAGGCACUGGACUGAACUAGGGAAAAAAGAAAACAGAUUGCUUUAGCAUUCUUAGUUUCAAGAUUUACUCACCCAUCUCACUAGGCUCUGCUGCCAAGAUGGGUGUGGGCCAUCCUCAAGAUUUAGGAGGGUGGCUCUGACUGACCUGGCUUUGUGACAUUUCCAUCACUCAUUUGGGGAGGGGAGGAGCUUUCAUUUACAGUCCCACCCAGACUAUACAUCUUGGGGGAGAUAAACUCUCCCUAAAGGGAAGGAGAUUUCAUUACCAAAAGACAGGGGCAUGGAUUCUGGAUAAUCAAAGAAAGAACAAUUGUCUACUAUGUAUCAUUCCCAAAUGCAGUUUAAAAGAAGAAUCUUUUAAGUCAGAAAGCUUCUUAAUGAGUCCAUUAAUGAAUUUAAAAUUCAAAUGUCAACAAGUCAUGACUUAAAUUUAGUGUUCUCUUCUUCGAAUUAUUGGGACUAAUUUGAGGAAAUGCCAUACUCUUUAUCGAUUGUAUUAAAGAUGAGAACAAUUUCCUGAGGAAUAAUUUCAGGAAGAGACAAAGGACAGUAGUUGUACAAGUAGGUGAACAAGUUGACCUUCUGGGCUUGCCUACUAACCUACGUUAUAAUCAACCUGAGUAAUUCAAUUUACCUAGCCUUGCAAAUCAUUAAAAAAUAAGUAAAAACAUAGGCCUGCAAAAAUUCUGCCUGGCCUGCAAAAUGUGCUUGGCUGCCCUCCAUAUUACCAUCCUCUUGAGGCCUGGGCUUCUAUCGUGGACAGAGUAAGAACACGCACACUCUGAUAUACUCCAGCACUCUAGAACUCUCUCCUCCAUGGCUUCCCGGGAACCACCCCCCACCAACACACACAUGAAACAAACAGAAUUGAAGGAAUGUGGAGGAGGGAGGGGAUUGUUUUCUCAUGAGGCUUCACGUGGCUUCUUUUCCACCCACGGCAUGUGGCAGGAGGUGAUUUUUGCAAAUAAAUUAACCCCUGUGCUCUUCAGUGUCAAUAAUACUUUCCCAUUUUGCUGGGGAAUUUGAAUUAUUGACUGUCUUGUGUCUUCAUUCCCUGGAAGGUGAAUUGAAGGAAUUCAUGUUUUUGAAGUCAUUUUUUUAAAAAAACUUGUGUAUACCUUUCUAGCAAUUGGGUAUUAUUUUAUUCAUCCUUGAUUAUCUUGCAAAAUGAGAUACUGACUAAAAGCACUACUCCCAGUUUCUAGUGAGGCACAGAGAGGAUCAGUCUAUGCCUUUGAGAACAAAUUGGUUUCAGAGUAUUCAUAGAACCUUCUAGCACAAGCUGGCCCAGCAUAGGAUACAUUAAGUGUCUCCAGUUCAACAUCUACAUUCCCCUGGCAGCAAAUUCCUAAGACUUUGAGGGAGAGGCUGUCUUCCAAACUGAUAACAUGAUGAUUUUCUGAGGUCCCUUUUUAAUGUGUGCCUUUAAAAUCAAUCUUCAAUAUUUGUAAUACUCUGAGAAGGAGAGAAUAAGUGAUCAGUCGUCUCAGUACUUAUCUGAGGGCUUAGACACCUAUUUAACUCAAGAAAAACAUAUUUUAGAAAGCCAUGUUUGAACUCUUUACUAUAACAAACAAACAGUAACAAAAUACCCUUACAAGUUGUUGAGAAAAGCAUGGCGACGCAGAAUAAAAGCAGGAGGCUUGGAAUUCCAGAUAAAAAUUCCAGCACUGCCUCUUGCUAGCUGUGGGCAAACUACAUAUGUCCUCUUGAAGCUUCAGUUUUCUCAUCCAUUAAAUGAAGGAAAUACAUAGUGCAGAUUUUGCAGGGAGAAUUAAGCAAGCCUAAUGUAUGCAAAGGAGUUGUGAGCUCUCUGUAUGCAAUAUGAACCCAAUAGAGGUAGCUAUUGGGAGAGAGAGUCCACGCCUAGGAAGCAGGCUGAAAUGACUUGAGGUUUAAUGUCUAUUUGCUCUUCUACAGGAAGCAGAUGACUAAGCCGUUUGUCUUUGGGCGAAGAGCCGAUGAGUUCAAAGUAAAUCUCCAGCUCUUCAUGCCCCCAAGACAGCUCUCCAGGAAGGGGGGUUUGCCCUCCUUUCAAGAUGAGAAAGUGAGGUGUGGAGAGGUUAAAUACCUUGACUGAGAACAAACGGCAAGUAAGCAGUGAAGUUGGAAUUCGAAAUCCCUGAAUUGAAAAUGAAUACCUGAACCAGGUGCAAACCAGCUUGUGUCCUUUGACUCCCUGACUGUCAUGGUCAUCAGCAAGAACGUCAAGGUCAUGCUGCAGAUCCCCACCUGCCACAACUCUUGCAAGUCCCCGCUUUGCACAAUCCAGAGGGGUCUUUCAUACCCGGAGUUACACUGCAUGGCAGCCCUGCCGAUUCGAGGAUUCACCAUGAAGAGGAAUCCAUUAAAGUGCACGCCUCUUUAGAGUAGAAGUUGGCAAAACGUGCAAAACAAACCACAAAAUGUCACAAUGAAAUGUGCAAAUCACACAGGAAGUGAAUAUCACCCUUCGCGCUCUCCACUGACUCUGCCGCUCGUCCUUGUGUAUCGACCUCGCAGCUCUCAGACCCAGAAAGGAGGAAGGACAGAGGCUUGAAGCAAACUCUGUAGUGUUCCCGGAAAGACGUGGCUGAGGAGACCGGUAAACCUUGAGGAGUGCUCCUCCUUCUCACCCAGGGUCACGAAACACUGAAGCUUGAAGGGGCCUAGGAAGACAGUCUUCUCCAGACCUCUCGUUUUACAGAUAGAGCGACUGGAGGCCAGAGGUGUGGUCUGACUCCCCAGCUACCAAGUCAAUGAAGGCAGAGCUGAGUCCGGAGUCGAGGCCUUGUGGUCCUCCACUCCAGUACUCUUUGCACAGUACCACGGAGCCUCUGCUGGGCAGGACGUAGGGUCUGCUCAGAGGUCACUCUAUUCCCCCUUCUGCGUGUGCAGCAGAGGAAGAGCAACAUGUACAUGAGGGAGCUGGCAGGGGGAGAACAGCGAUGAUUCACUCAAGAGCCAAAAUACCACGUUAUUAAAAAUAGAGCUGACUCUUUCUCUUCUAUUACCACCCAAACUUUUUCAUAGCAAUUUCCAAGCUGUCUUCCAAGAGUUUGGAAGUAAAGGGAAACAGAGGGUAUUGUUUUAUUUUAUUGGUUACUUCUCUGAUAAUUAGUGCCAGGAAGCAGAGAAAUUAGAAUUGUGAAGCUCCUAAGGACACGAGCAAGGUGUGCGUAACUCCUCACUUGCUUCAGUGCUUUGAUGUGGCGCCUGUGUCAUGAUGCUCUUUCAUGCAUCGUGUCCCAUUGUCAUAAGUGAAGAAAAUGGGCUUGCAGAGGAGACCCGAUUUUCCUCAGGUUGCACAUCGACUGAGUCCAGAGCACCUGAAACCUCAGUAAGUUCAGUUACUCCUUCUGUGCAUGUGCAACCCUCAAAUCAAGUGUUUCCAGACAUCAGGGAGACGUCAGGAUGGGGAGGCAAAUUCUGAGUGGUGGACAGAGCUGAGACGUCCUACCUACAGACACAGGCUCACAGCUGCGUGGUGAUGGCCAGCCACUCAGCUUCUCCAAGCUAUAAUUUUCUCAUCCACAAAAUAACAACAAUAGCUGCCUCAUGGACUAAUAUAUAGACGGACGAUUAUCUUUACACAAAAUGGUUUUCAUUUUCAUUUCACUUCAAGGAGCAAAUAUUCGAGAGACGUUAGAACGUCUCCCCAGUUUGCUCUGUCGACACAAAAUCUUCAAGAGUGACAAGAACGGAAGAUCUCUAACUGCUUAGGUACAAUCAAGUUAUCAACAGAAACACCCAACCAUGGUGGCAGCAUGCCUUCUGAUCACACUGCUCCAUGGCACAACCAUGGUCCCCUCUUUUUAUGACUUUUCAGAUCCUCCUAUUGGCAUGAAAUAAGGUGGAAUACAGCUUUUUAACCUUUCCUAAGCCUCCCUAUUUAAAUCCUUCAUAUAAAACUCUGCCUCUACUUUGAUAUGCUAAGCUGGUAUGUGUACGGGUUUUCAAGAGAGAAUAGUUGAACAGAAUAAAGACUGUACACAGGCCCCUCUUCUGAGGCUAUAAACUUUGGUACCUACUCAUGUCAGUCAUAUUCUCAGGUCUGGAAACGGAAACAGAGUUCCACGAUGUUACAUUAUGCAUGUCAAUAACAAAGUGUAAACUCUAGUGAAGGAUAAGGAUAUCUUUCAUGGGCUCGUAACCACAGAAGUGAUCGUAAAUGAAAGUAUUUAGUAAAUGGCCAAGAAAUAAUAUAAUGAAUUGUAAUCAGAUUUGUAGAGAAGACCUUUUGAUGUGUCUGCCCAGCCACUACUUUACCAGUUUUCUGAGAACUAUCCACCCAUCCAAAUGGGUAGGUCUUUUGUGGCUGUAUUUAUACUGACUAACAACUCUUUCGUUGGUCAAAGCUGAUUGGAUGAAAGAUGGACAGUGGACCCAAUCUGAGCCAAUGAGAUUCUCUCCUGGGGUUUGGACCUAGGGUGGUAAUCAGUUAGUUGGGAGCCUUGAUGCCAGGAACUGAUGUGGUUCUAGAGUUGGACCCAUGAUACCCCACCAUGUGCAAAAGGAGCUAGUGUGGAGAGACAAAAAAUAAGGCAGGAACCUGGAGAGAAGGAGAGGAGAGUGACUGCACAGAAAAAGUGGCCGUGCACCCUCUGGUCCUCAGGGAUUGUCCAGGUCCUAUUUCCUUCUUUCCUGGAGCCUAAGGAUUGUUGAAUUCUGUGAGAUAGACAUGGAUCCUCCUCCAAAAUUCCCAUUUUUACACAUCUGAAAUUGUGUGUUACUUAUAUAAAAACCUCUCUUGACUGAA